rnacentral:piRNA from 1 species
UAAAAUUCUGGCUAGCUGGGCCCUCAC